AUGGGAAGCGAGGCCGGCUGGCACCCCGUGCCCACUUCGCCCACCAUGGCCGGGAUGGAGAAGAGGAGCAAGCGUCUCUGGGGGUGCUGCAUUGGGGGGUGUUGCGCCGGGGGGUGGAUCUUGGCUGUGAUCUUCCUGGGCCUCUAUCUGGCCCGGGAGCUGUCGAGUCCGGCUGUCCAGCUGCGGGAAUGCCAGUGGGAGCUGCAGAACCAAACGGCCCGGGCCCGGGCCCGAUCCACCUCCGCCCAGGAGCGCCUGAAGGCCUUGGAAGCGGAGCUCAAGCAGGCCAGAGGGGAACUCCAUGAGCUUUGGACCCAGCAGGAUGCCACCAACCGCAGCCUGGCCGAGACCCAGGGGCGCUGGGAGACCUGCCACUACCAGCUGGAAACCAUGCGGGAAAAUGCCACCGUCCAGGUGACUGAAGCCGCCCGGCACGAGGCAGAGAAAUGUGCAGCUGAAAAGCAAACGCUCCAGCAGGAAAUCUCGGACCAAGCGCAGGAGCUGAAGGCAGCCCACAGCCAGAGCCAGGAGGAACGGGACCGAUGCAGCGCACAAACCCAGGAGCUGAAAUCUCGGCUGGAGCAGCUUUCCAGCGGUUCCACCCGGGUCUCCUUUGGGGCUCCAGCUACAGCCUUCAUCCUUUCCGGAGCUGUCUUCCUCCUCCUCCUCCUCCACUUCGGCUGCCUCUAACCCUUUCGGACUUGGCCGCCACCUAGUGACUGUAAAAGGGUGUGACGUCCCCAGCCGCUUCGUCCACCGAUCUGCACCCAUCUUUUCCACCUGCAGAGCAGCUUUGGAGACUUAGUGGGGGGGGGAGAGAACCUUAGCACCCCACCCUGUCCCAUUGGCGUGUGGGGUCGCUUCUUGUCUUGCCCUGGAAAAUAAAGGCAUUUCUGGCACCUCCUCCUCUUCCUCU
rnacentral:lncRNA from 1 species